rnacentral:rRNA from 1 species
GACGUAGGGAGCGAGCGUUGUCCGGAUUCAUUGGGCGUAAAGCGCGCGCAGGCGGCCAGGCAAGUCGGGUGUGAAAAUCCGAGGCUCAACCUCGGACCUGCACCCGAAACUGCUUGGCUAGAGGUAGGUAGGGGAGAUCGGAAUUCCUGGUGUAGCGGUGAAAUGCGCAGAUAUCAGGAGGAACACCGGUGGUGUAGACGGCUUUCUGGACCGUAACUGACGCUGAGACACGAAAGCGUGGGUAGCAAACAGG